rnacentral:rRNA from 1 species
UUGGAGGGCAAGUCUGGUGCCAGCAGCCGCGGUAAUUCCAGCUCCAAUAGCGUAUAUUAAAGUUGUUGCAGUUAAAAAGCUCGUAGUUGAAUUUCGGGGUCAGUAGGUCGGUCGUGCCACUGGUAUGAACUGGUUUUACUGAUUCCUCCCUCUUGAAGAACUGUAAUGCCAUUAAUUUGGUGUUGCAGGGAAUCAGGACUGUUACUUUGAAAAAAUUAGAGUGUUUAAAGCAGGCUUUAGCUUGAAUACAUUAGCAUGAAAUAAUGAAAUAGGACGUUUGAUCCUAUUUUGUUGGUUUCUAGGAUUGACGUAAUGAUUAAUAGGGAUAGUUGGGGGCAUUAGUAUUCAAUUGUCAGAGGUAAAAUUCUUGGAUUUAUUGAAGACUAACUACUGCGAAAGCAUUUGCCAAGGAUGUUUUCAUUAAUCAAGAACGAAAGUAGGGGAUCGAAGACGAUCAGAUACCGUCGUAGUCUUAACCAUAAACUAUGCCGACUAGGGAUCGGAUGAUGUUAAUUUUUUAAUGACUCAUUCGGCGCCUUACGGGAAAC